AGCUCCAAUAGCGUAUAUUAAAGUUGUUGCAGUUAAAAAGCUCGUAGUUGGAUUUCGGGGCGGCCUGGCUGGUCCGUCGCGAGACGAGUACUGGUCAGCCGCCCUUCCUCUCGAAAGCCCCGACUGCUCUUCACUGCAGUGGUCGGGUAGUUCGGGACGUUUACUUUGAAAAAAUUAGAGUGUUCAAGGCAGGCUUUCGCCUGAAUACAUUAGCAUGGAAUAAUGGAAUAGGACUACGGUCCCUAUUUCGUUGGUUUGACGGACCGAAGUAAUGAUUAAGAGGGACAAUUGGGGGCAUCCGUAUUUCGUAGUCAGAGGUGAAAUUCUUGGACCUACGAAAGACGAACAACUGCGAAAGCAUUUGCCAAGAGUGUUUUCAUUAAUCAAGAACGAAAGUAGG
rnacentral:rRNA from 1 species